AACCAGCACCUCAAGUGGUCAGGAUGAUUAUUGGGCCUAAAGCAUCCGUAGCCGGCUCUGUAAGUUUUCGGUUAAAUCUGUACGCUCAACGUACAGGCUGCCGGGAAUACUGCAGAGCUAGGGAGUGGGAGAGGUAGACGGUACUCGGUAGGAAGGGGUAAAAUCCUUUGAUCUAUUGAUGACCACCUGUGGCGAAGGCAGGUCCCUGGGCCAUUACUGACACUGAGGAGCGAAAGCGCGGGGAGCGAACAGG
rnacentral:rRNA from 1 species